rnacentral:rRNA from 1 species
AACAAACGCUGGCGGCGUGCCUAAUACAUGCAAGUCGAACGGGGAAAGCUUUCGGGUGAGUACUAGUGGCGCACGGGUGAGUAACGCGUGGAUAAUCUGCCCUCGAACGGGGAAUAACUAGUCGAAAGAUUAGCUAAUACCGCAUAAGACCACGACUACUGAGGUAGUUGGGGUCAAAGGAGCAAUUCGUUUGAGGAUGAGUCCGCGUAAGAUUAGCUAGUUGGUGAGGUAAUGGCUCACCAAGGCGAUGAUCUUUAACUGGUCUGAGAGGAUGAUCAGUCACACUGGAACUGAGACACGGUCCAGACUCCUACGGGAGGCAGCAGUAGGGAAUAUUGGACAAUGGGGGCAACCCUGAUCCAGCGACGCCGCGUGAGCGAUGAAGGCCUUCGGGUCGUAAAGCUCCGUUGUAAGGGAAAAAGUUCUGAUUGUACCUUACGAGAAAGGAUCGGCUAACUUCGUGCCAGCAGCCGCCGUAAAAC